GUGCUCGCUUCGGCAGCACGUAUGCUACAAUCGGAACGAUACAGAGAAGAGGAGCGUGGCCCCUGCGCAAGGAUGACACGCAAAUUCAUGAAGCGUUCCGUAUUUUA